GCGGAUGUGGCGGAACUGGUAGACGCGCAGGGUUCAGGUCUCUGUGGGGUAAAACCCGUGUGAGUUCGACUCUCACCAUCCGCACCA
rnacentral:tRNA from 1 species